rnacentral:rRNA from 1 species
UACGUAGGGUGCAAGCGUUGUCCGGAAUUAUUGGGCGUAAAGAGCUCGUAGGCGGUCUGUCGCGUCUGCUGUGAAAACUCAGGGCUUAACCCUGAGCUUGCAGUGGGUACGGGCAGACUAGAGUGCGGUAGGGGAGACUGGAAUUCCUGGUGUAGCGGUGAAAUGCGCAGAUAUCAGGAGGAACACCGGUGGCGAAGGCGGGUCUCUGGGCAGUAACUGACGCUGGAGGAGCGAAAAGCGUGGGGAGCGAACAGG